UACGAAGGGGGCAAGCGUUGUUCGGAAUUACUGGGCGUAAAGGGCGCGUAGGCGGCUUAUCAAGUCAGGCGUGAAAUUCCCGGGCUCAACCUGGGGGCUGCGCUUGAUACUGAUUGGCUUGAAUGCGGGAGAGGAUAGUGGAAUUCCCAGUGUAGAGGUGAAAUUCGUAGAUAUUGGGAAGAACACCGGUGGCGAAGGCGGCUAUCUGGCCCGUAAUUGACG
rnacentral:rRNA from 1 species